UUCUGUGUUCCCUUUUUGCCUUCUGUUGAUUUGGAAAUUCUAUCAUUUGUCUCUAUAAUGGUGGUGGUUUCCCUUCUCAUAUCUAGUAGUUAUGAUAAAACCUGUGUUCCUCUAGUAAUGUUGCCAAAUUGAUCAACAAAUAUGUUUCCCAAAAUAUUUUAUCCACUCACUCACUCCCCAACCUUCACCUAGAGGAAAAUUUUGGAAAUUGAGAUUUUUAGUUCCUCACUUUCCCACUGAAAGUGGAAAAGUGCCCAGCCUCUCUGAAGUAUACUUUCUUUUGAAGACUCCUUCAUGAACAUUUACACUUUCUAUUUCUUAUUUGGUAUCAUAACCAUAAGACCAGCUCCAAGAAUUGCUGAUUACUUUUGUUGUUCUUUUGUGUCCACAGAGCCAAGAACUGAGCCCAGUACUCAAAAUAUUUGUUGAAUGAACUAUCUAUUUAGAUAUAUUUAUUACAAGAUCAAUUGUUCACAACAAGCAUUGUGCUCACCAUCUACCCAAUACUGAGCCUCUUCCUUCAAUGUGAAAACUUGUGCACCUCUCUCUUUUC
rnacentral:lncRNA from 10 species